GGGGCUGUAGCUCAGCUGAUUAGAGCGCUUGUAUGGCAUACAAGAGGUCGUGGGUUUGACUCCCAUCAGCUCCACCA
rnacentral:tRNA from 1 species